rnacentral:rRNA from 1 species
UACGAAGGGGGCUAGCGUUGCUCGGAAUCACUGGGCGUAAAGGGUGCGUAGGCGGGUCUUUAAGUCGGGAGGUGAAAUCCUGGAGCUCAACUCCAGAACUGCCUUUGAUACUGAAAGCUCGAGUCCGGGAGAGGUGAGUGGAACUGCGAGUGUAGAGGUGAAAUUCGUAGAUAUUCGCAAGAACACCAGUGGCGAAGGCGGCUCACUGGCCCGGAUACUGACGCUGAGGCACGAAAGCGUGGGGAGCAAACAGGG